rnacentral:rRNA from 1 species
AAACCGGAUUUUGUACCCUGGUAGUCCACGCUGUAAACGAUGUCUAUUUGGAGGUUGUGCCCUUGAGGCGUGGCUUCCGGAGCUAACGCGUUAAAUAGACCGCCUGGGGAGUACGGCCGCAAGGUUAAAACUCAAAUGAAUUGACGGGGGCCCGCACAAGCGGUGGAGCAUGUGGUUUAAUUCGAUGCAACGCGAAGAACCUUACCUACUCUUGACAUCCAGAGAACUUGGCAGAGAUGCUUUGGUGCCUUCGGGAACUCUGAGACAGGUGCUGCAUGGCUGUCGUCAGCUCGUGUUGUGAAAUGUUGGGUUAAGUCCCGCAACGAGCGCAACCCUUAUCCUUUGUGCCAGCGAUCGGUCGGAACUCAAAUGAG